CAGGUCUUGACAUCCUCUGCAAUCGGUAGAGAUACCGAGUUCCCUUCGGGGACAGAGUGACAGGUGGUGCAUGGUUGUCGUCAGCUCGUGUCGUGAGAUGUUGGGUUAAGUCCCGCAACGAGCGCAACCCUUGAUCUUAGUUGCCAGCAUUUAGUUGGGCACUCUAAGGUGACUGCCGGUGACAAACCGGAGGAAGGUGGGGAUGACGUCAAAUCAUCAUGCCCCUUAUGACCUGGGCUACACACGUGCUACAAUGGAUGGAACAAAGGGAAGCAAAACCGCGAGGUCAAGCAAAUCCCAUAAAACCAUUCUCAGUUCGGAUUGCAGGCUGCAACUCGCCUGCAUGAAGCCGGAAUCGCUAGUAAUCGCGGAUCAGCAUGCCGCGGUGAAUACGUUCCC
rnacentral:rRNA from 1 species